AUACUUACCUGUCAGGGGGAAUACCACGAUCACAACGGUGGUUUCCCCAGGGUGAGGCUCUUCCAUUGCACUUUUCGGUUGGGUUGUCCCCUGUGGUUCCCCAAAUGUGGGAAACUCAACUGCAUAAUUUAUGAUAGUGGGGGACUGCGUUCUCGCAGUUCCCUG